CAGAUCAUUACCCAAUUUGGUAAUUAUUAUGCGCCGCGACGCGUCGUUCGACUCGUUUUCGGUAAUGAACUCCAUUACACUAAAGAGAAAGAGGAUCUUGUGUUUAUCCGUGUGAAGAAGCCGCUCCCUUAAGUGACGUCACACGAGGUCAAACUCGAACUACUCGUGUGACGCGGAGUAACAGUAAAAUUAAUAUUUGUCGAGCGCGUAUCGCUUACCCCUGUUGAUAAAAACACAACGCGAUUUGUUAAAGUUAGCAAAUAAGAUACGAUAGGGAGGAUAACACCGUAAACACAAUGGAAACGGGUAGUAGUUGGCUGUAAUUUUAUGUAAUUUGUUUUUUAAUUUAGACCACGUUACCCGUUCUUUUAAAAUGGAACCAUCCCGUCUCGUCUUAACUUUACAACAAGCCAGAUGUUCUCACAUCACAUGACGUAACAGCGGAGGAGUAACUUUACCGAUUUGGUUAUUCUCGAUAUUAAAACACCCGGUGGUAACGUAAACAUAAACAGAUGUUAGAACUAAUGGUUUAUGUAUCUAUAAUAAUAUUUAAUGACGUUACCCUCCUGUGGCGUAACGCGGCCUUUGAAACGACUUCUUUUUUUGUCAAUAGUGUUCCUUUUUUAACAAACAAAUCACGUAUAAAGUGCCUGUUUUGACCGGAAAUGCGUGACGCUUUCCAUUACGACAAAAGCGUUUAAAAGUUUGAAAUUCGUCACCGUGACAUCACAAUAAACUCCUGUUCGGGCAGAAACACGCCCUUCUUUACAAUAGCUAGACAGGUAUCUGCUCCUCUACCGGUACGUCUGUGUGUCCAGCCGUUUAACGUGUUUACGCUUCUUUCCCCGCUUUUUCCAGUUCCAAAAAUAAUUUCGCCUCCGGAAGACGCAUUCAACAAAACGGGAGGGUCGGUGGCUCUGUCUUGCGAGGUCAGUGGAUGGCCAAUACCCGUCAUAGAAUGGAAAGUGGACCACGGAAACGGAAUCACUUCGACCAUGCCCAGCGACACUCCUCGUAUCUCUGUACAAUCACGAGGUGGCCCUAGGAACUACGAGGUGACGUCCUGGUUGCAAGUACAGAGACUUCGAGUUCAGGAUUACGCAACUUAUUAUUGCGUGGCACGUAACGACGAAGGAGAAACAUCUGCUUCCGCCCGAAUUUAUGUUACGGACAUUCCUAGAAAAACUAAACUAAAUGAAAUCUGAAACUAAGUUCUUGUUCUUUUUUAAAAUGCUUAUUCUUGGCUCUUAUCUGGAUAUUUAAGCAGUUUUCUGUCUAUAAUUUAUAGAGAAUAAUUAUAUUUGUAGUAUAAUAUCAAAUGAAAAAUUAUAUGCAUUUAUGUAAUAUUAAAUUUUUUCUUUUUUUUUAAAAUUAUUUCUGCUGAAAUGCAGGAAAGUUUCACAAUGGUGCUAUCGUGUACAUAGUUUUUUAAAAUUGUCCGAUUAUGUUCGUGGUUUUGUGUAAUUAAAAAGAAAUUUACUGUAUUAAUUAAUAAUUUCCAUUACAAACUACAUUUACUUAACAUCUGUGCCAAACAGCAUACUCAUAUUCACUGCCACAAACUAUGAUUUUUAUUAAUAAAAUAUUUGUAUUGUUGUCUAAAA